AGAGUUUGAUCCUGGCUCAGGAUGAACGCUGGCGGUAUGCCUAACACAUGCAAGUCGAACGAUGUCUUCGGACAUAGUGGCGGACGGGUGAGUAACGCGUGAGAAUCUGCCUCUAGGAUGGGGAUAACGGUUGGAAACGACCGCUAACACCCAAUAUGCCGUAAGGUGAAAAAUUUAUUGCCUGGAGAGGAGCUCGCGUCUGAUUAGCUAGUUGGUGGGGUAAGAGCUCACCAAGGCUUCGAUCAGUAGCUGGUCUGAGAGGAUGAGCAGCCACACUGGGACUGAGACACGGCCCAGACUCCUACGGGAGGCAGCAGUGGGGAAUUUUCCGCAAUGGGCGAAAGCCUGACGGAGCAAUACCGCGUGAGGGAGGAAUGCCUUUGGGUUGUAAACCUCUUUUCUCAGGGAAGAAGAUCUGACGGUACCUGAGGAAUAAGUAUCGGCUAACUCCGUGCCAGCAGCCGCGGUAAUACGGAGGAUGCAAGCGUUAUCCGGAAUCAUUGGACGUAAAGCGUCCGCAGGUGGUUUCCAAAGUCUGCUGUUAAAGACUGGAGCUCAACUCCGGAACGGCGGUGGAAACUUGGAAACUAGAGUUCGGUAGGGGUAGCAGGAAUUCCCAGUGUAGCGGUGAAAUGCGUAGAUAUUGGGAAGAACAUCGGUGGCGAAGGCGUGCUACUGGACCGUAACUGACACUCAGGGACGAAAGCUAGGGGAGCGAAAGGGAUUAGAUACCCCUGUAGUCCUAGCUGUAAACGAUGGAAACUAGGUGUGGCUUGUAUCGACCCGAGCCGUGCCGUANCUAACGCGUUAAGUUUCCCGCCUGGGGAGUACGCACGCAAGUGUGAAACUCAAAGGAAUUGA
rnacentral:rRNA from 1 species